rnacentral:rRNA from 1 species
AUACCAGGUAGGCAUACCCGCUGAACUUAAGCAUAU